AUUUUUUACUGUCAGUUCAUAAUACUGCUCAAAUGGCAAAUAUAGUAUAUAGAACAAGUGCAUGAUAAAAUCAAAAUCACUAACCUAUUGUGUUUUUUUGUCAUAGCUCAUAGGUAUGGUUAGCGUCCAUAGAAAUGAAAAAUAGUGACACAAAAUCAAUGCACUCAUAACCACGAUGCCAAGACCCAAAUAAUUACCCACUGUGACAAAUAAUUACGUGAGGCUGACAGAGAAGCAAGAAUAGAGAAAUGAGACCAUGAGAGUUGAAACUGAAGGUGAGCUGCUGUGUCUGUGAUGAUUACUUGGCAAGGCCAGCAGCUCCUUGCGGUGGAGUCAUGACAGUGAGGAGUUGACAAUGGCACCGAGAGGAGACGAGAGGAUACGAGAGAGGUGAACUUGAGAGCUGUGCCACCGAGUGAAGUGAGUGCAAUGUGAGAUUGAGAGAAACUAAGAAAGGGAGAGUUGUGGUAAUUGGUAGGUGGCGGAUGGAU
rnacentral:misc_RNA from 1 species